UACGGAGGGUGCAAGCGUUAUCCGGAUUCACUGGGUUUAAAGGGCGCGUAGGUGGGCAAGUAAGUCAGUGGUGAAAUCUCCGGGCUUAACCCGGAAACUGCCAUUGAUACUAUUUGUCUUGAAUACUGUGGAGGUCAGCGGAAUACGUCAUGUAGCGGUGAAAUGCUUAGAUAUGACAUAGAACACCAAUUGCGAAGGCAGCUGGCUACACAAAUAUUGACACUGAGGCACGAAAGCGUGGGGAUCAAACAGG
rnacentral:rRNA from 1 species